rnacentral:lncRNA from 1 species
CGCGGAGCAAGCGGGACGUCGUGGCAGGGAAGGAUGACGAUGCUGCCAAAACUGGCCUUUUUGGUCCACCUUUUCCACCCCUCCUCGACUCCGCGGGCGAAUGCCAGGCCGCGAUUCGGUGGAUCCCCCUCCCCAGGCAGCGCGGCCACCGCUGGCUUCCACGAUGGAAAACGCAGCAUUUGAUUUGUUUUGGUUUAAUAAAAAGUAUUCUAAAAUAUUAAAUUAUUUAUUAUCAUUGGAUUUAGAGUAGGAUAUGUGCAGGUAGAUCAAUGAUUAAAAAUAAUUUAAUACCAUAAGGUAUUAAUAUCUCGAGAUAUUUUUAUUACUUUUUGUUGAAAUAUAAAAUUGCUCAUUCUAUUAUUUCAGCAAGACCUCCCGAUCGAGUGGACCGAUCUAUCUCUCUCACUCUAUUAUUGUUGCCGCCCUACGUACUCGUUUUGGAUUCGUCGCCAACAUGUUCUCGGAGGAACACGUUGAAUGUGCAAGUGUGCUGAGAAGGAGAGAUCAAGAAGCACAUAAAUAUUGAUUGAUCAUGCGAAUUCCUUUUGAGGUGAAAAAAUCUUGCACGAUUACAGCAGCAUUUUGCUAUGCCCUCUAGUUGUCCAUGAUUAGCUAGAAACUUUAUCCACCAUAUGAGAAGCUUCUAGCAGUGACCUAAAAAUAUAUAUAUUCGGAUACAUGUUGCAUGUGAAUAAUGUUAAAACGGUCAAAACAUAAUACUGUUGGGUAUUUAAAUUUCUAGCCGUCUCGUCCGUAGAACACCAUUGGUUAAAUUCGGCGUGCCAUGGGCAGUACAGACCGAACGAAUAUAAGCGAUAGA